rnacentral:rRNA from 1 species
UUCGUCCAAGUGAAGCAGAGGACAGUGGCGGACGGGUGAGUAACGCGUGAGGAACCUGCCUUUCAGAGGGGGACAACAGUUGGAAACGACUGCUAAUACCGCAUGACACAUUGGGGUCGCAUGGCUCUGAUGUCAAAGAUUUAUCGCUGAAAGAUGGCCUCGCGUCUGAUUAGCUAGUUGGUGAGGUAACGGCCCACCAAGGCGACGAUCAGUAGCCGGCCUGAGAGGGCGACCGGCCACAUUGGGACUGAGACACGGCCCAAACUCC